rnacentral:lncRNA from 1 species
AUUGGGUUCCAGGUAGGUGAUGGCAGUAACAUUCGAUUUUGGAUCGAUUCUUGGCUAGGUAUUCCAACCCCUCUUCAGAACUUCUUUCCUAAAUUAUAUAAUCUCUCUCCAGCAAUCAAUAAGUCUUGCAGAUGUGUAUAGCCCGGCUGAUAAUUUAGUUAGUCUAUCUUGAAGGAGAAAUCUCUGGUCCCAUAAGCUUUGUAUGUAGAAAAGUUUAAUUGUAGAGGUGGAGUGUGAUUUAGUUUUCUAUUUAGAUGAAGAUAGAAAGGUAUGCAAAUUCGAUAAUUCUGACAUUUAUUCAGGUUUCUAAUUCCUAGAUAGCCUAUUUGCCUUUCGGGGCUCCUUCCUUUUUUGUUUUGCUCUAGAAAAGUUUUGCUUCUUCAAAAAUUAACGUGUUCAUGUGGCUCCUGCUUAAUGGCAGUCUCAGCACUAAGGGUUUUAUAAUUGAGAGGGGGAUUAUUAACUAUAAUGAUGCUCUUUGUCUUUUUUAUUGUAAGGAAAUUGAGAUUAUAAAUCAUCUAUUUCAUCAUUGUACUUUUACAUAGAAUUUUUUUAGGUUGAUUCAUAUAUUAGUUCAGGUGUUUAAGUUGUUUACGUAGGGAUCCUAAUUAGAAUCUUCAGGAAUGGUUCAGGUCAAUCAGAGGCAACUUUCAACGUUAGGCUAUUACUUUUCUCUGCAAAGACUUUUACUGAUUUAUCUGAAUAACUCGCAAUCGACCCAUAUUCAAGUUCAAGACUCCUAACUGGAAUGUAAGUUCUUACCUUACCUUUUACUGCUCGGCUUUUUGGUCUGAUCUAUUUAAAACUUCUAAAUGUAUCCUAGACUAAUUAGUUUGAUCUUUCAUUUAUUUGCUGCUUUUCAUAGUUGCCCUCUUGUAAACUCUUUUUAUUCGGUCACUAUCUAUUUAAUGGUGCUAUUUUAUAUAUAAAUUCUACUCGAUUACUAUAUAUUUAUAUAAAAAAAAAGUAUUUGAUUAUUAUAGCAACUCCAUCAUGAGCUCUAAUCAGAAAUAAAUAAUCCAGGAAGUAGUUUGCUUCUCUCCAUUAGUAUAAUAAAAGGGGCCGGGAGUUAGCAGGUCCAUGUGGGGGUGAUGUACUCAGCAUUUUAUUCUAAACUGGCAUGAUCUUAAUAAAAUUCAUUUUCUUAUCCUAGCAAGGAAUUAACAUAAGGUGAAAGGGCUUACUUUACAGGCUUGGCAUGCAUCCGUUCCAAGGUCUUUGAUUCAAUUAUUUGCUUUAGAGGCUCGUCUCGCAUCCACUUAUGUGGAUGUCUGGACUAGUGCACUUCUACUAAUCUCACGGGCCUUGAAGUUGACGACCAUGAAAAUCUCCAGUGGCCAUCAUAUGAACAACCACAGGGCUCGAACCUGAGACCACAGAGGAAGCAAACCUCUUGAUUCCAAGUUCUUACCACUGAGCC